CUUGGUCAUUUAGAGGAAGUAAAAGUCGUAACAAGGUCUCCGUUGGUGAACCAGCGGAGGGAUCAUUAUAGAGUUUUCUAAACUCCCAACCCAUGUGAACUUACCAUUGUCGCCUCGGCAGAAGCUGCUCGGUGCACCUUACCCUGGAACGGCCUACCCUGUAGCGCCUUACCCUGGAACGGCCUACCCUGUAGCGGCUGCCGGUGGACUACCAAACUCUUGUUAUUGUAUUGUAAUCUGAGCGUCUUAUUUUAAUAAGUCAAAACUUUCAACAACGGAUCUCUUGGUUCUGGCAUCGAUGAAGAACGCAGCGAAAUGCGAUAAGUAAUGUGAAUUGCAGAAUUCAGUGAAUCAUCGAAUCUUUGGACGCACAUUGCGCCCAUUAGUAUUCUAGUGGGCAUGCCUGUUCGAGCGUCAUUUCAACCCUUAAGCCUAGCUUAGUGUUGGGAGCCUACUGCUUUUACUAGCUGUAGCUCCUGAAAUACAACGGCGGAUCUGCGAUAUCCUCUGAGCGUAGUAAAUUUUUAUCUCGCUUUUGACUGGAGUUGCAGCGUCUUUAGCCGCUAAAUCCCCCAAUUUUUAAUGGUUGACCUCGGAUCAGGUAGGAAUACCCGCUGAACUUAAGCAUAUCAAUAAGCGGAGGA
rnacentral:rRNA from 1 species